AGGGGGGACCCCCCUGGGGCCGCGGUGCCCGCGCGCGGCUCUCGCUCCUUGCCGGCCCGGUCCAGCAGGACAGGCCCAGGACAGACCCCGCUGCGCCUGUCUCCCGCCUGGACGGGAGGCCACCAGGGACCCUCGGUCCCGAGACACGCCCGCGGCAGACAUCCCAGAGACGCGUCACGCACCUGCACCUCCGAGACGCAACACGCUCCACAGAGGGGACAUGCCCCUCAGGGGUGACAUGGCUCACAGAGAGUAAAUCUGCCAGCAGUGGUAAGAACCGUCAGAACCAUGUGUGUUAAAGGCAUGAAUGAUGAGGAUUCCUGGGUGGCG
rnacentral:lncRNA from 1 species